rnacentral:rRNA from 1 species
UUAACCGUAUAGGGGAGCCGGAGGGAAACCGAGUCUUAACUGGGCGUUAAGUUGCAGGGUAUAGACCCGAAACCCGGUGAUCUAGCCAUGGGCAGGUUGAAGGUUGGGUAACACUAACUGGAGGACCGAACCGACUAAUGUUGAAAAAUUAGCGGAUGACCUGUGGCUGGGGGUGAAAGGCCAAUCAAACCGGGAGAUAGCUGGUUCUCCCCGAAAGCUAUUUAGGUAGCGCCUCGUGAACUCAUCUUCGGGGGUAGAGCACUGUUUCGGCUAGGGGGUCAUCCCGACUUACCAACCCGAUGCAAACUGCGAAUACCGAAGAAUGUUAUCACGGGAGACACACGGCGGGUGCUAACGUCCGUCGUGAAGAGGGAAACAACCCAGACCGCCAGCUAAGGUCCCAAAGUCACAGUUAAGUGGGAAACGAUGUGGGAAGGCCCAGACAGCCAGGAUGUUGGCUUAGAAGCAGCCAUCAUUUAAAGAAAGCGUAAUAGCUCACUGGUCGAGUCGGCCUGCGCGGAAGAUGUAACGGGGCUAAACCAUGCACCGAAGCUGCGGCAGCGACGCUGAUGCGUUGUUGGGUAGGGGAGCGUUCUGUAAGCCUGUGAAGGUGGCCUGUGAGGGUUGCUGGAGGUAUCAGAAGUGCGAAUGCUGACAUAAGUAACGAUAAAGCGGGUGAAAAGCCCGCUCGCCGGAAGACCAAGGGUUCCUGUCCAACGUUAAUCGGGGCAGGGUGAGUCGACCCCUAAGGCGAGGCCGAAAGGCGUAGUCGAUGGGAAACGGGUUAAUAUUCCCGUACUUGGUGUUACUGCGAAGGGGGGACGGAGAAGGCUAUGUUGGCCGGGCGACGGUUGUCCCGGUUUAAGCGUGUAGGCUGGUUUUCCAGGCAAAUCCGGAAAAUCAAGGCUGAGGCGUGAUGACGAGGC